CGACUGGAUAGCUCAGAUCGGUAGAGCAUCGGAAUGUUAAUCCGAGUGUCGCGGGUUCGAUUCCCGCUCCAUGAA
rnacentral:tRNA from 1 species